rnacentral:pre_miRNA from 1 species
UGUCACUUUACACCUUCCGUCACGGUAGGACAAAUGGAUGUCCGACGUGCCAUGCCACGUGGACAAAAAUGACAUGUGGCACGUGGUAUUUUUGACAUGUGGCGUGCCAUGUUUCCUUGUUGUACACGUGGCAUGCCAUGUGGUAUUUCUUUGGUACACGUGGCAUGCCACAUCGGAUGCCUGUUUCUCCUAUCAUGACAGAGGGUGCAAAGUGGUA